rnacentral:rRNA from 1 species
AAAGUGUGCAAACAUGAAUAAAUUUCAUCUACGUCAGGUCAAAGUGCAGCCAAUGGGCGGGUGACGAUGGGUUACACCCUAAACAAGGUCACAGAUUAGCGCAUUAAAAGCCCUAUGAAGCUGGACUUGGAUGUAAUUCUGAUUCAAUAUUAAAAUGAAUACGAAUCUAAGACAUGCACACAUCGCCCGUCACUCUCACCUCAAAGGC